UUGUCAGAAAAAUUGCAAAUUAAGCAGCGUAAAUUCGAAUCGAAAAUUCUUUUAUAGAAAACUGAACUAUGUUUUAUUAACAAUUUAGCAGCCUUCUUUGUCUCAUUUCCCCAAAAUUAAUUAUACACAUUGAAAGUCCCCGCUGCCACACGGUGUACAGUGAGGCGAAAAGCAAGUCAAGAAGGCGCUUGGCUGGGCGUUGUGAAAGCAGCUGGAUGCUUGGAUGAACUGGCCAUGUUAUGGGUGUGAAUGGCGGCUGGGAAUGGGCGGCACACAAUCUGAAUGGAAAACCGCACUUUAACGCGAAGUCGAAGACAUAAAUCAAAUUAGUUUUUCAAGUGAAUGCACUCGACUAAUUCCAGCGGGCAAAGCGCGCCAAAGGUACGAGGAAUAGAGCGCGGAUGUUGCUCAUUUUAUUAUGACUGACCAUUCAAAAGGAUCUGCAUGUCCUGCAGAGUUUUUCACAUUCAAAUACCGAUGCGGGCAACCAACUUCUGUGUGCUAUACAUUUGUGUGUGUGUCUGUGUAAAGUGUUGACCUCGCCGGGUAAUCGUUCUAUUAUUAAUGGACAUUUGCCUUCAAACAAUGUCACAGUUGCACAUCGAACUAUGUUGGCUACCGAUUCAAUCUGAUUUACCUGCCCAGGAUUAGCUAGAUUAAGGGGCUUACAACACUUUUCGGGGCGCUGAAAAUGCAAAUCGAAACAGACUAUAGAAUAAAAGUAACGUUUUUCUGGCAAUUGAUUCCGCUUGGAUCAACAAAGCAAGAUUUUUUUGUAUGACACGCUUUACGGCUUAUGACAGAUUUGGUCAAGCAAAUCGUCUUAGGAUUCACAGAUUUGUGCAAGGAAGCGCAAGAAGUAUGUGUAAGAUGGUAACAAUUGCCAGUAGCCGGCACGCUCCCUAGGGCCAAAAGCCUCAUCCAUUCGUCCAUUCAGAAGAGCGUGUCCGUGAUCCUAGCAUAGCCUGGUUUCCUGUCGAGAAAUGAGGCAAACAUAAGUGGCUUGGUUUGGUUCGGCUCGACUCGACUCGGUCGAUGGCCAAAGCGGCAAAGUCAAAUGCAAAUUGAAAUGUACGAAAAUGGAACAAUGACACAGUGAGUUUCUAUGGAAUGUGGACAAUGCUACUGUGGAUUGCCGACUGCUGCUUUGCCAAAAGCCUUUUCACACUUAUCAAUGCAGUUGCAUGUUGAAUGAAAGUAUUCAAAGAGAUGCAAAGAGAUCGAAGAAAGGCAACAUGCAACGGGCAACAGACAACGAACAACGGGCAACCGUUAGAAAAUUUGGCAAUUGCUCGACUGCUGACUCGACUCCUAUGGUGCAAUUAUGAUGGAAAGGUGCUAAUAAUAACCGAUAAAUUCAUGUUUACCUAACAGCCCAAGGUGCUGGUCAGCUGUCAAGUGUCUGUUUGUGUCGCCCCGAAACAUUCAUGUGAUGAAUGGAAUGCCACGAAUGAUGAACUGCAUUUGAAGUGUCUCUGCCCUUUGGCAUGCAUUCUUGUAGUAGGUGUAUAGUAAAUGGAUAGAUACUCCAAUCUGGCCAUUUUGAGGGCAAUGCGGGGGAAAAUUGCAUUCGAUUUUUUGAUUGAUCGGCUUGAUGCUCAAACCUUGUUACGCUCGCGCGAUUUUCUAUAACUAAAAAUUGCGAC